rnacentral:rRNA from 1 species
GACGGAGGAUGCAAGCGUUAUCCGGAAUGAUUGGGCGUCAAGCGUCCGCAGGUGGCAGUUCAAGUCUGCUGUCAAAGACCGGGGCUUAACUUCGGAAAGGCAGUGGAAACUGAACAGCUAGAGUAUGGUAGGGGCAGAGGGAAUUCCUGGUGUAGCGGUGAAAUGCGUAGAGAUCAGGAAGAACAUCGGUGGCGAAGGCGCUCUGCUGGACCAUAACUGACACUCAGGGACGAAAGCUAGGGGAGCGAAUGGG